rnacentral:rRNA from 1 species
UACGAAGGGGGCUAGCGUUGUUCGGAUUUACUGGGCGUAAAGCGCACGUAGGCGGAUUGUUAAGUCAGGGGGGAGAUCCCGGAGCUCAACUCCGGAACUGCCUUUGAUACUGAGAAGCUUGAGUCCGGGAGAGGUGAGUGGAACUGCGAGUGUAGAGGUGAAAUUCGUAGAUAUUCGCAAGAACACCAGUGGCGAAGGCGGCUCACUGGCCCGGUACUGACGCUGAGGUGCGAAAGCGUGGGGAGCAAACAGG